CCUACGGGAGGCAGCAGUGGGGAAUAUUGCACAAUGGAGGAAACUCUGAUGCAGCGACGCCGCGUGAGGGAAGACGGUCUUCGGAUUGUAAACCUCUGUCUUUGGGGAAGCAAAUGACGGUACCCAAAGAGGAAGCUCCGGCUAACUACGGGCCAGCAGCCGCGGUAAUAGGUAGGGAGCGAGCGUUGUCCGGAAUUACUGGGUGUAAGGGGGGCGUAGGGGGGCGAGAAGGUUGAAUGUUAAGUCUACCGGCUUAACUGGUAGCUGCGUUGAAAACUUCUUGUCUUGAGUGUAGUAGAGGCAGGCGGAAUUCGUAGUGUAGCGGUGAAAUGCGUAGAUAUUACGAAGAACCCCAGUGGCGAAGGCGGCCUGCUAGGCUUUAACUGACGCUGAGGCUCGAAAGCGUGGGGAGCAAACAGGAUUAGAUACCCGUGUAGUC
rnacentral:rRNA from 1 species